rnacentral:lncRNA from 1 species
UCAGGGAAGUUGGACAGUAAUUAAGACUCUAAAUAAUCUAUUUUAAUAGGAAUAAGGGAUGAUUUAUGAAAUAUCUUUUUUAUGAUUUAUGAAAUAUCUGUAUUGUAUUUAUAGUAAACGAUGACACAUUCCCAAACUGAGUGUGUAGUAAAUGGAAGAUUACGAGAAGAGCAGCUGAUGAUACUGAACUGCAGCACAUGCCGGUUAGAGCAGUUCACAUUCUCGAGUCAAGAACCGGUUGCGUCGGUUUUCAGAUCAUCAGUACACUGAACCGAAAACCGUUUCCUUCGGAGCUGAUGAUACUGCGCAUGCGUGAUUCAGCAUGAAGCCGACUGCACAGCGCGUCUGAAACGAACUGAUUCUGUGCUAAUGGGUAGAGGGCUUGGAUGAAGGGAAAUCUGGCGAAAUACUUGACGCCAUUACGUCAUCGCCAAUGGUUAUUGAAUCGAACUGUCCCAAAGAACGGGUUCGCGGAAAAGAACCGGACUUCCCAUCACUACUGCCAGAGGAUAAGGUUUUUCUUUCACUACCUUAACAUUUUUGUUGUUGCUGUUGUUGUUUUGCCACAGGGGUGCUUUGAGACAUUAAGGCAGAAUAUUCUGUAAAGAUAUUUUGAAACAACAUGGAUUGAAGCACUACAUUUUUUUUUUAUAUGUAUUUAAAAAUUCUAAUUAAAUAAAUAAUUACAUUCAAAUGUCAAAUGCGAUUCCCCCUUGUUGUUGUUGUUGUUGUUUUUUUCAGUGGUAUUUAAGUCACCACUUUGGCUCUGUCAGCACAACAGAUGGUGAACCAAAGCACAGUUGAUGUUACAGCAGCUUUCAGACCGUUAGACACUUCUCCUUGUGUCUGCAUGGCAUAGCAGGAAACCAAAAGCAGAAGGGGGGAUGAAAGAUUCGUUUCCUUUCAGAAAGGCCCUAAAAUCAAACUUGUUUCCAAAAACCAAGAAGUGACUCAAGACCUAUUUCAAGUAAAAGCAUCACAUUUGAUCCUUGCAUCUCGUUGAGGUAGGUGUUACAUUUUCAUAUUACAAUGACACUUUACUCAAGUGACUUGCAAAACAGUUUUGAUUAUUAAUGUGUUUUAAGAUUAAUACAUUCAUUAAUUGACCUCUACUCUCCACUUUAAUCUCCACUUUUCUAGAUUGUAUUUUAAAUGGAAAUAUAUCUUGAAUGGAAUUACUUGUUGAAUGUUAUUUACUGGUUACUUGUUAUAUAUUUCAAUUAAUUUUCCAAUAUUGUAAACAUUAAAUAAAUAGUAGUAUUAAGAUUACAUUUUAAUGGAAGUAAAAAGUCUUUAAGAAAGUAAUAUUCUUCUAAAAUCACUUCAAAUGGCUUAAUAAUCCUAAACAAUGACCUCUAACAUUUCCUUUAUCAUAAACACUAUCUACUGGAGAACACUGUAACUCAAGGGAAGAGGCUGUUAAGCUUUCGCUCUCAAAUCGAAAACUUUCAAAUAAAUAGCUCAUGUUUCAUAAUAGUAGUUGGAGCAGUUGGUCUUGUUUUUUUCUUUUUUCUAUUUUGUCUUCAUAAAUCACAAAGGAAUGGCAGCAGCUUGACAUUUCCUCCAAACAGACAUUGUCAGCUUGCUUUAGAAGUAAUACGCAGUUUUAUGCACUGGCUUCUAAUAACAUAUUCAACAAUAAAGCCUUGUAUUAUGCACUAAGAAUAUGAGUCAAGGAGAAUGUUAAAAACUGAAGUUCUUCUAUUCUAUUCAUAGCCAAUGUGUAGUUUUAU